rnacentral:rRNA from 1 species
ACGGAGGGGGCUAGCGUUGUUCGGAAUUACUGGGCGUAAAGCGCGCGUAGGCGGCUUUGUAAGUUAGAGGUGAAAGCCCGAAGCUCAACUUCGGAAUUGCCUUUAAGACUGCAUCGCUAGAAUCGUGGAGAGGUAAGUGGAAUUCCGAGUGUAGAGGUGAAAUUCGUAGAUAUUCGGUGGAACACCAGUGGCGAAGGCGACUCGCUGGACUGAUACUGACGCUGAGGUGCGAAAGCGUGGGGAGCAAACAGGA